rnacentral:rRNA from 1 species
UACGGAGGGGGCUAGCGUUGUUCGGGAUUACUGGGCGUAAAGCGCACGUAGGCGGCCGUUUAAGUUAGAGGUGAAAGCCCGGGGCUCAACCCCGGAAUUGCCUUUGAUACUGGAUGGCUUGAAUCCAGGAGAGGUGAGUGGAAUUCCGAGUGUAGAGGUGAAAUUCGUAGAUAUUCGGAAGAACACCAGUGGCGAAGGCGGCUCACUGGACUGGUAUUGACGCUGAGGUGCGAAAGCGUGGUAGCGAACAGG